UGCAAGUCGAACGGGAAUUACUUUAUUGAAACUUCGGUCGAUUUAAUUUAAUUCUAGUGGCGGACGGGUGAGUAACGCGUGGGUAACCUGCCUUAUACAGGGGGAUAACAGUCAGAAAUGGCUGCUAAUACCGCAUAAGCGCACAGAGCUGCACGGCUCAGUGUGAAAAACUCCGGUGGUAUAAGAUGGACCCGCGUUGGAUUAGCUAGUUGGUGGGGUAACGGCCCACCAAGGCGACGAUCCAUAGCCGGCCUGAGAGGGUGAACGGCCACAUUGGGACUGAGACACGGCCCAGACUCCUACGGGAGGCAGCAGUGGGGAAUAUUGCACAAUGGGGGAAACCCUGAUGCAGCGACGCCGCGUGAAGGAAGAAGUAUCUCGGUAUGUAAACUUCUAUCAGCAGGGAAGAUAGUGACGGUACCUGACUAAGAAGCCCCGGCUAACUACGUGCCAGCAGCCGCGGUAAUACGUAGGGGGCAAGCGUUAUCCGGAUUUACUGGGUGUAAAGGGAGCGUAGACGGUGUGGCAAGUCUGAUGUGAAAGGCAUGGGCUCAACCUGUGGACUGCAUUGGAAACUGUCAUACUUGAGUGCCGGAGGGGUAAGCGGAAUUCCUAGUGUAGCGGUGAAAUGCGUAGAUAUUAGGAGGAACACCAGUGGCGAAGGCGG
rnacentral:rRNA from 1 species